rnacentral:rRNA from 1 species
CACGUAGGCGGCUUAGCAAGUCGGAUGUGAAAUCCCUCGGCUCAACCAAGGAAGUGCAUCCGAAACUGCAGAGCUUGAGUACUUAAGAGGAUCGCGGAAUUCCCGGUGUAGAGGUGAAAUUCGUAGAUAUCGGGAGGAACACCAGUGGCGAAGGCGGCGAUCUGGGAAGAUACUGACGCUGAGGUGCGAAAGCGUGGGGAGCAAACA